rnacentral:rRNA from 1 species
CAGUAGCCGCGGGAAUACGUAGGUGGCAAGCGUUGUCCGGAAUUAUUGGGCGUAAAGGGCUCGCAGGUGGUUUCUUAAGUCUGAUGUGAAAGCCCCCGGCUCAACCGGGGAGGGUCAUUGGAAACUGGGAAACUUGAGUGCAGAAGAGGAGAGUGGAAUUCCACGUGUAGCGGUGAAAUGCGUAGAGAUGUGGAGGAACACCAGUGGCGAAGGCGACUCUCUGGUCUGUAACUGACGCUGAGGAGCGAAAGCGUGGGGAGCGAACAGGAUUAGAUACCCCAGUAGUCCCUGUCUCUUAUAC